rnacentral:lncRNA from 1 species
CCUCCACACAAAAGUUUAGUUUGAAAUAACUGCCACCACACAGGAUGUCAGGCACUGGGACUGAGGACAUAACAAAGAGGUUUAUUUAAAUCUGGAAGCAUUAUGAUUUUCCCUAGCCUAAGGUGUUGAUUGCCAUCGUAUAAAUCCUCCUUUCUAAUAAAAAAAUGACAUUUCAGAACCAAAUAGUGCUAUACACAUGAAUAGUCAGAAUUUAACUGGUUUAUGUGCAGAGUAAUGAAAGCGAGUUUUACCGGAAGAGUGAAUUUGGAAUUGUGUCUCCUGUCUGACUGUGCUCUUUUAUCAUCCUCCAGUCCACCCACAAAUGAAUUAUCAGGCACGAACCUGGAGGCGCAUAUCAAUGAAAGGUGAGUUAUGCACACGUGUGUCUUUAUUUAUCUAACCAUAACUGAGCAUAGAUGUUUUCACACACACUGGCACAUAAACAAAUAUAUUCAUGCAUCCAUCCAUGCGUCCAUCCAUACACACUUCUCUCAACACACAUCCACUAAGAACCCAUGCACACAAUGGAAACACACAACAAGGAGACAGAUGGACGGACACUUGUGGAGUUUAUUCUGAGAAGCCUGCAUGGCCACAGAGAGUGGUUUUUCACAGGGUUUCGAAUUCUUCUCGUCAUAGCCUUUGUAGGUAACAUUGCAUCCUUUUCUAAUGGAGUCAUAUAGAAAGGAGCAGGUCACAGGAGAGCUGCUGCUUCCUGUUCGUGUAUUUGUCACCCUUAGUUCCUAGUAAGCAGCUUCUUAAAGGACUCAGAUUUCCUGAGUGUGAGAGCCUGUGAGAUUGACAGAAGGGAGGAGAAAAUCCUAUUUGUAACAUGGAGGAGAUGGCAGGUGACAAGGAGCAGUGAAGCCCUUGGCAGAAAAGAAUGGAGCGAAUGGAACAUGGACUUGUCCCUCACACUCCAGAGCUCUGUCAGCACAUGAGUUUGGUGCUAAAACACAAACAGAAGCACAGCACCUCAUUGGAUGCAGCCCUUCCUGAGGCCCACAGCUACUCGCCUGUGUCUCCUGGACAGGAAAGACUAGCAUGAUGGGUGAAAGGAAAGAGGUAAUGGAGAGAUCCAGGAAGUGGGCCAUAGAUGGGAUUAGAGGGAGGAAUGCCUACACAGUGGAGUUGAAUUCAAAAGAAAUUCACCCACAAAAGGCUGUCGUGCAUUGGCCAGCUCCAGUGGUAGAGAGUUUUGGUGAACUCUUGAGUCAGUGAGUCUUAGAUAGGUGUAAAGUAUGUGCUGCAAUCGUAUAAAGUAUGAUGUGUAGGGUAAAUGUCAUGGCAGAUUCCAAAGAACCAAAUACACACAUGACUUCUGUAAGGGUAAGGCAGUUUACAGGUUGAAAAGUACUUGGAAGGUUGGGUGCAGUGGCUCACGCCUGUAGUCCUAGCACUUUGGGAGGCCAGGGCGGGUGGAUAACAGGAUCAGGAGUUCAAGGCCCACCUGGCCAACAUGGUGAUACCCUGUCUCUACUAAAAAUGCAAAAUUAGCCGGGCAUGGUGGCGGGUGCCUGUAGUCCCUGCUCCUCAGGAGACUGAGGCAGGAGAAUUGCUUGAACCUGGGAGACAGAGUUUGCAGUGAGCUGAGAUUGCGCCACUGCACUCCAACUUGGGAGACAGAGCGAGACUCUGUCUCAAAAAACAACAACAAAAACAAAAACAAAGCAAAAGCAAUUGGAACUAUUUUGAACUGAAAACGUUAAGUCUAGGAAGUUACAUGUCUUACUAUGUACAUUUUAGGUUCUUUGGCACUGCCCUAGGUGUGAAUUGAGAGUAUCUUCUAGUAGGCUGGCCAGUGCAACAUUUGAUAUAAAGGAAUACAGUUAUACAUGUAUCUCUGCCUAUACAAACACAUACAUACAUGCGUUCAUACACACAAGAGAGAUUGAGUUGGGCUGUUGACUGUCACAAGCAUCCAUGGGAACAAGGAGUUCCCUGGAAACUAUUUCUAGAGUCCUCUUAGAAUGAGCUUUGUAUGGAAUAUUCUUUUGUUUUGUGGAUGGAGGUAGGAAAACGGGGAGGAACUCAUAGAGGGAGGUUUUUUAUGUUAGUGUUUGUCACAUUUCCUUUCUGUGAGAAUGAGACUGUACUGGUAGCGUGGACCAAGGGAGAAGCGAAUCCUGCUUGGAGCGAGAAGGAGAUAGGAGUGGAGAAAGAUCAGAGAAAUGCCAGCAAAAAAAAAAA